AGUGAACGCUGGCGGCGUGCCUAAUACAUGCAAGUCGAACGGAGUGGCGCACGGGUGAGUAAUGUAUAGCUAAUCUGCCCUACACUAGAGGGCAACAGUUGGAAACGGCUGCUAAUACUCUAUAGUGUAGGAGGAGGCGAUAUUGUAUCAGCUAGUUGGUGAGGUAAUGGCUCACCAAGGCGAUGACGAAUAACUGGUCAGAGAGGAUGAUCAGUCACCCCGGAACUGAGACACGGUCCUGACUCCUACGGGAGGCAGCAGUAGGGAAUAUUGCUCAAUGGGGUCAACCCUGAAGCAGCAACGCCGCGUGGAGGAUGACACUUUUCGGAGCGUAAACUCCUUUUGGUAGGGAAGCGGUACCUAACGAAUAAGCACCGGCUAACUCCGUGCCAGCAGCCGCGGUAAUAC
rnacentral:rRNA from 1 species